AUUUGCUUUCGUCAUAUGCGAGUUAGGGGCUUGCCGACAGGUAAACCGCCGCUGUACUUAGAUGCAAAAGCUGCCUCCCUUAUCUGGAACAGAAUAAAUUCCUUUCGAAGGCAAAAUAAAAAACAGAAAGAGAAGUCA
rnacentral:lncRNA from 1 species